AAGUCGUAACAAGGUAACCGUAGGUGAACCUGCGGAAGGAUCAUUGAGAGUGUUGGGUGGGGGUUGUUGGAAUGAGUUAAGAGAUAUCACGUGACAUACUAUUCUUUAUCAAAAUGACUAGCCACCUGGGAUCUCUGGGCUCUU
rnacentral:misc_RNA from 1 species